rnacentral:lncRNA from 1 species
CAAGCACCCAGCUACAUUGAAAAGCUGGGCAGAGCCAGACAUGGGGAUGCAUACUUAUAAUCCCAGCUACUGGAAAGGCAGAAGCAGGUGGAUCUCGAGUCCAAACCCAGCCUUGCCAACUUAGGGAGAAUGUCUCAAUAAAAAAUAACAACGGCUGAGGAUGUAGCUUAGUGGUAGUGGUAAGUGACCCUGGAUUCAAUCCCCAGUACCACACACACACACGUGCAGUUAGAUGAACCAUCCUGGGAGGCCACAGGCUUCCCCAGGGCAUUGGCAGUGGACUCCCAUUGCACCCAACCUUUCAGGACCACCUCUGGCUCGAUUCAGUGAGAUGCACCUGCCCCCAGGUGACUCACGAGCACACCAGGCUCGCCACGAGAGGGGAAGCUGCCAUUCCCAAUGCAGCAGGUUGCCAGUACAUUUAUGACUUGGGAUCACGAAUCCUUAAAUCACCUGCAUGCCCUUGUAAGCAUGAUCAUAGAUCAGCUUGGAAGAGGCCUUGCUGCAGGUGUCUUGGCAAACCCUGGUCAAAGCUAGGAACCACGAGACCAAGGAACUCUAGCAGCUGCACUGGUCCCCAGGAAGCAACGAGAUGCUCUGGACAAGGAAGAUGGGCCGGGACAGCUGCCUGCGGAUGGAACUGAGCAUGCUCAGGAGGCCCAGGGUUCCCACCACCCUGUGGAGCGUCGCAGCCCUGGAGAGGUGGCCCCCAGUGCAUGAGGAAGGCUUCACACUGUUAUUUUUUGCCCCUUGUUGCUGUAGG